UACGAGGGGGGCGAGCGUUGUUCGGAAUUAUUGGGCAUAAAGGGUGCGUAGGCGGUUUGGUAAGUCUCGUGUGAAAUCUCCGGGCUCAACUCGGAGCCUGCACGAGAAACUGCCGGGCUUGAGUGUGGGAGAGGUGAGUGGAAUUCCUGGUGUAGCGGUGAAAUGCGUAGAUAUCAGGAGGAACACCUGUGGCGAAAGCGGCUCACUGGACCAUAACUGACGCUGAUGCACGAAAGCUAGGGGAGCAAACAGG
rnacentral:rRNA from 1 species